AUUGACAAAUAAUUUCCUACGAAUUUCAUGAGAGUCUGAGGCAGGGCAGAUGAGAUCUAAAUUAAUGCCCUGCACUGAGAGAGAGGCUGUAGAGCGAGUCUAACAGCAAUUGCCAGCAACCCGGUCAGAACAGAUUCAUCGUGUGUGUUGGCUGAUGGGCUGGCACAGGUGCACAGCCCCUUGCCUAGCCAUGGAGAAAGGGACACGACCGAGACACAGGCAUAGUGUGGGUAUGGGAGGAUGGGCCAUUCAGCAUCCCCUCUGUGCCCAAAGAAUGAGGUAAACCGGAGAAGCUGGGCAAUGACCUGAGGGAACGGAUGGUGGGUUAUUGCAGCAGGGGACAGGAAAGUGCUGGGUUAUUGUGGUGAAGAAAUCAAGCAAUAAAGAAAACAAAUCCUUACAAUGGCAUCUACAUUAAUUCCACCAGCUCCGAGGCAAUUUAUUUCCUUGGACUAAUAAUGGGAAUUACUCUUGUGUUUGCUGUUUUAAUAUGGCGUUCUUGAACGUGUCAGGGCAGUAGAAGCAGAAUCCAAAACCAUUGGGUCUAUUAGCAUAAAUUUUGCUGAAGGACUUGAAAUUCUGAGCUUGGAACCAAUAUUAGAUUCAAGCCUCUUGAGGGGAAGUAAAGUCAUGUUUGAAAAUGUAUUUUAUGUGUGAUAUUUAUUUAUUUAGUAACUGUAGUUUCCCAAACACAUUUCCUCCCACAGUCACUGUUGGAAAAAAAAAAAUCAAAAUACAAACAACAAAAUUACAUCUAGUAUUUUAUAUAAAAAGAAAUGGGAGCAAGAUUUGUAGAUGGUGUAUCGUUCUGGAACCUCAGCGACUGAAAAGAUUUACUACUCCUAUUAACAACAGCAAAUGAAGAGUGAUUAUAUUAAGUCAAAUAACUUGUAUCUCUUCCAUCCAGUCAUAAUUUGAAGUUAUCUGAAAAUUAAGAGUCUGCUACCAGCCCUGGUAAUUUGUUUCUCAUUGAUUACAAAUAGUGAAUGCCCUUAAUUUCUCACUUGUAUCUAACAAGCCUGAGCUUACAGCCAUUAGUUCUUUUUAUGCAUUUGUCUGUUAGGAUAAAGAACCUUUUAGGGCUUGUAUUUUGUCUCUUCAAAGUACACUGUAGUUGUGUCACUUCCAUGUUUUCUUUUGAUAAACUAAACAGAUUGAGCCUGUAACUGCAACUCUCUUGCUCUUAAAUAAUUUCAUGGUCCUCUUUUGACCGGCCUCCAACAUUUCAACAUCCUGCAAGCCACAAGCAUGGGACCUGUUUCCCCAGAUAGCAAAGCUCUAACAGGUUCCCUUUACAAUCACUUUUUUCUAGCAGACAAUUCAUCUUGACCCAGCUGGUGUAUCUAUUUCUGGAUGAGAUGAAUCUCCUCUAAGCUAGUGCUGAUGAACCCCCAUCUGUUAUUCCGAUGUUAAGCUCAUGGUGCGGUAUACUGAGGUAAAACUGCAUCCUACUACAAUUCACAAGUUCUUUGCUUGCAUAGCCGAGGAAUGCUUUAAUCCUUUCUGCUCCAGCACCGCUCUGGAAUUUCACGCUGAAUUGUCUAUUCACUGUGGCCCCUAAAUCCUCUUCAGACUUGUGUAUCCAGGAUUCAGUACAUGGCCAUAUGAUUUUUUGUAGGUUGACUUAUCAAGUUAGUUGCUGCCAUCUGAAUGGUUUUCAAAAGAUUCAGCUGUAUUGCGGCACUGAGCUACGUAGCAGUUAUAUGUGCCACUUACAAAACAGAUUCAAAACAAACAGAAUGCUGCAACAAAGUUUGGGUCCAAAAAUAGCUGAAGACACGUUAUUCCCAGAUCUGCAUGAGCUCUCCAAUAUGCCAUGCUUUGUCUUUCAUUCCCAUCACAGCUUCCAACUAUUUCAUUCUUUGGAUGAAGACUGAGAGAGUUAACCUGCUCAUAUUGCUGUCUCCAUCCAACUCUGGAGUAAAAUAUUAAUAUUUCAUCAUAGCUCUAGAAACUAACGUUUUUAAACAGCUUCUGCAGGUAAUGUGGGAGUUGCCAAAAGCAAAACGCUCCCAAGUAGAGGGAAAAGGAGUAGGUUUUAUCUGCCUACAUCUCUUUCUACACGUGUGACUCAUGUGGUCAAGUACACACAUUGUUUCAGUACCUCAUGUUUACUUGAGAGAGUGCUGCCUUACAAUCAUAAAAAAAAAAAAAAAGGAAAAAAUCUUCACUUUCCUACUGCUGUUCCUGUUAAAAUAGACUCUGUCUCUCUUUAUUAUAACCUCAGACUAAGCCGAAAGCCAGGAUCUUGAUUGUUUGGUAUGCUCGUGACCACUGUCAGUCCAUAUGCACUCAUCUGUAGUACAGUUCUUCACAUGACUUGGGUAUAAGACUAGUCAAGGAGUCCUUUAGGCUACACUUCUUAAGAAAGUAAGUAGAUAUCUUUGCCCAAAGUUACGUGCUUUUUUUUUGUUGUAGUGUGUAAAGAAGAGAAAGCUGUAAAUCAAGUCAUCAAAACAGUAUUCAAAACCAUUCAGUUGAUAUGUAUAAUAAACAUAGGUGUAUAUUCCUGCUUCUCAUUGAUCCAGUUGGUCACAAAGGCUUGUCUUUAUUUACCUGCGACCUAUACUAAGGCGAGUUGUAGUACUUGUUACAUACAUGUAUGGUAAAACCAGGUACACCUGGUACACAGGCAGGCACCCACUUGUGUUGUGAGGCACUGAUAAAAAUAAUCUCAUUGUGUUCAACUGACAUAGUUAGAUGUACUCUGCUAUAGAAGAAACCUCAGUGAGACUGAAAACAUGCAUGAGAUGUGGGAAGAUGAGAGUCCAACUUUGCUGAUGUUUGAAAAACGUACAAAUUCAUCAGACCUGAAAUAAGGCUGUAUUGUGAAGUAUUUUGGUUUUAAGCACCUGGUAGCACUUGUUUAAUAACAAGUCUGUCAGCCUUUUCAAUAUGAAACUAUAAAUACUUGAUAAAACAAGACCUAGGAUCUCAAACAGUAUACAUAGUGCCAAGCUGGCAAGCCUGGCUAGUUUUUCUACUGUUGGGACAGAAAGUAAAUAAAAGACUGGAAUUUUUUUAAUCACUCUGAAAGCAGUUGUCUGUCUAUAAAAGAAUAAUGGGGACAUUUAAUUUGUUUCCUUAUGACAGGCAAACAAAUCCUUAAAAUUGCCGAUUUUUUUUAAAGUAUAUUUAAAGAUAACCAUGGAACUGUUGCUUAAACAAAUUGUAUGCAACACACUUCUUUUGCCUAUACAGUUUUUCUCUUUUAUUUGAUAUUCUUAAAUGCUUUAAAACAAUAUUUUUUUUCUCUCUCUCCUUUAUAUAUUUUUUGGUUUCUGAAAAAAAUAAGUCAUUUCAAAGUGACAUCUCCUUGCCUGCUGUUGGUGCUCCUAGUGGCUCUCCUCAAGGUGUUCAUCUCCCCUCCUGCUCCACACCAUGUUGCUGCCCAGUGCUCAAGGUACCCUUGGACCUUAGCCCAGGUAAUGCCAGGGCUAGAUGCAAUAGUGUAUGUGCAACAUUUGCAUCUGACUAGCAUACUCCCAUCAGCACUAAUAACAUCACAAACAGGAACAACCAGUAGGGAUUUUGGGCAGGUCCUAAUGAAAAUGAUGUAGUUCUAGGGAAAAAAAGCAUGGCAAAAAUCCUCCCCCUCUUGUCAUCUUCAUCUUUGACAGUGGCUGUACUAGAGACCGUUCCUAUGGCAGAUGAUCAUCUGGGACUUCACCACUGCUUUUCAUGGCUGGGCACUGUGGAGAGUUUUUCCUGUUCCUUUUCUAUCUCUCUUCUGUUUUUCAGUUUUCCCAAAACUUAAUCUGUACUUUUAAAAUCAGCAUAUCCCAUCAGCUACUGAUGCCACUAAUGAGUCAUUGUGCACGUGGACCAACCUCAGCAUCCUCUGUGCAGCUAUCUCUCCCAAUAUCCUGUUUUUCACAGCAGAUAUUAGUGAAUGCCAAGAGAAGGAUGGAACAACAAAGGUUGCAAAGCCCUGCCAUGCAAGGCUGGAAGUGCAUGGCUCGUGGAAAAGGAGAAAGAAGAGCAGCAGAGUUCUGCUCAAGUCACACCAUCAAUGGGCACGUUUCUGAAGGGCUGAGAGAUUCUACAAACACAACAAGAUUCAUCAUUUUUGGCUAGGAUUUUAAAUAUGAAGUCUACCCUAGGACAGUGCAGGACCAUACAAAUUACGUGAUGCACACCACUAUGCACAGGACGGUGAGUAGAUGCACAUGGACAUUCAUGGGAACGCACAUGCUGUGAUGAAAAUAUUCAUUGUCUUCUUUCCUAAGAAACCCAGUUUCAUAGUUCUUUCAGCUGCAUUUUCCAAGAAUAAAGAACAAGGCCCUAGAAAUUAGGUUUGGUUAGCAAAACCCCCUGUAAUUGCUUCCAACUCAGAGGAUCAAUCAGCUAAAAUUCAGAGAGUACAAACAGUAUUCUUCCAAAUACAUAAAUUGCUCGUGUCUGACUUGCAAGGCAGGUACAAUAUCAAGAGCACUGGUGUGAGCAUCUGUACAUGUAAAUUCUUGACAUGUAUCUGUAAAGGAGACAAUGUACACAGAAGAAUGUCACUUGGAUGAGGCAGCCUUUCCUAGGUAGGAAUGGAAGAUUGCCUGUGUCAGAAGACUGCCACUUGUACAUGACUCCCAAUUGAAAAUUGUUUUGCAUUUUCGUUUGUAGUCACAUAAAGCACUCAAAACAAGCCAAACUCUCCAGCAAGAGAGAAAGCCUUUGCCUUUGAAAAGGGAAUUUUUAAAAAUUAAUUAUAAAUAUACUGUAAAAUGUAAUUUUUGUUGUGGCAUAGUGGCUGAACAAUAAAAGGUGAUUAACUUAGAUAAUAACGUCUCAUAAAUGCAAGUUUUUUUACUUCUAAUUUGGCUUUUGUUGUUUUAAGCCUGCUUUUCAGCUACCCUUAAAUCUGUAUUUUCUGGUUUAAUUAACAAAAGACAUAAUAUAGCAACUUCUACAUCAUGGAAUGGAAAUUAGUUUUGCAAACUGCAGUUACAAGUAGUUUUGUUAAGUUUGUGCCACAUCUCAUGAAUAAAUAUAGCACACCCUGCAUACUGAGCUGUUCAAACUGGCGAAAGGGCAGAAAUAGGCAAAAGAACAUUUACUGUCAUUUAUUCUUGUCAAAGCAAAAUUGAAUAAAGCCUCAUCCAAAGAAUGCCAACAGAUACUCAGCAUCCUAUGGCUCUCAGAAUCAGGCCAUUAACACUUUUGCCAAGCUGACAGAUAUUUUAAUCAAGGGGAUUUACACACUGAUGAGUAGAUUAAUAUAAACAUUCUCUCAGUCUCAAUUGUGCAGUAAACAGAUCCCAGGAGUACGAAUGUAUUUAAAAAUUAGUGUACUAAGCAGAUCCCACAAGCAACAAGCAAAUGGAAAAUAUUCGAUUAAGAUAGGCUGCACUGACUUUUGCUACGUGAUGGAUAAUAGACUAACGCUUCCAUGUCCACUCACCUCCUACAUUGUCUCAGAUCUUUAUUUUUCCCCAGUUCUCAAUCUGAACUAUGUAUCCAGACUUCCAAAGAAGACAUCUCAUCCCGCGUGUCUCAGCUGACAUGCAAACCAGUGAGCACCAAGCUACAAAUUACCCUCAUCUUUGGCCUUGUCUUUGCCGACUUCCCAAAUGCAGACAGACAGCUGGAGGACAGAUGGCAAAACUGAAAGUGUGUCUCAGUGUGAGAGGUUUCCGUCCGGAAAGAGCACCCAGUGGUCACGAGCACCCUUCCUUUUCCUUCCUAGGGGUGGUGAACAUGAAGUGCUGUUCACAGACUCUCUACUGUGGGGAGGAAGGUCCAAGGUUUUGUGCUUUCAAAAAAUGGAGGUUACAGUUGUUUGAGAACCACAAUACAGAAAACAGAAAAGCCAUCACAAAAACCUGAGAGCCAACAGUUUAUAUGAGCAAUUGACUAAGUCACUGAGAUACUAUUUGUAUGCAUUUCUAAUGCACUCAUUACCCUAACAGCACUAAAACAAUUUAUUUUCUUCCUUUCUUUUUACUGUUACAGUAAUAAUUUAUUUAAAAUAGGAGCUGCAUCAGCAAAUUUCUUAUGAGAUAUUACUCCUGCUUACAAAUGUUAUCUAUUUGAGCAAGCAAGAUCUGUAAUUUAGAAAAGAUUAAUCUUCAGAGGAUCACAGCUCCAAUCACAACAUUACCACAUAUAGAAAAACACAACCCAGCUAUUUUCUGUGAUGAGAAGCUGUACUCUAUGGCAGAUGAACUCAACAUGCAUUAGCUGAAACUCCAGAGUAAACAUUUUCUAUGGUUUCCACCAGGAUGGAUGUUUCGAACCAGUACUGCAUGUCUAGAUCACCUCUUUCUUACUUUGUGCAGGAAACAUAUUUUCCCACCAAGGUGGGAUAUGUGCCUAGUCAGAAAGCAAGGCUUUCUUUGUCUUUCUUUGUCUUUAAAAUAUAGCUGAGCCAGGGGGAGGAUUCCAGCUCUGUCUUUCACACCAUUCCCACAGUUACCUAGGGAAAUCAAGCUUAGCUUAAAAUAUCAUAAAAGCGGUCCACAACUGAUCAUUAAAAUACACACAGAGAGACAGAGUGGGAAGGCAAUUCAAGUGAGUUGCCUUACAAGUCCAUCCUCUGCUCAGUCUGUUCAAUAUUUUCAUUUACAUAGAGCUAUAAAAUGGUUAAUGAUAAGCUAUAGGAAUGGCAAAAGCUGUGAAGGAUCAGACCAAAUUUUAAAAUGAUCUGGUGAUGUAGCUGCCCAAAAUCAACGAGAUUAAUUUAGCCUGUCUUUCCUCAAAUGCAAUGCGAAGGGUUUAUUCCUGACAAGCUAUUACAGAACAAAUCAAUGGGGAUAACAAUCAGCAAGACAGCUGUGUGUUGGUGAAAGAACCAGCUUUAUAGGGGUCACAAAACUGGUAUGAACACAGCAAUCUAGCACUGCAAAAGGAAGACAACUUUCAUUUUGGUGUUACAGAAAUGGGGUGUGCUUUAAGACAGAAAAUAUAUUUCCUCUGUCAUGCAGAGUGCUGGUAAAGUGUUACCUGGAGCACUGCAUCCAGACCUGGAUUCUGCACUUGAAGGUAAGCCGGAGAAAAUAAAAGGAAAUUUGAGAAGUAAGAGCAAUAAGAAGUCUGGAAAAAAAUACAUAAAGAGAAAAAAAAAAAAAAAAAAAAAGGCUGGGGUUGUUCAGCUUGGAAAGUGAGGACUGAGAAAGAAAUUGAAAUCUUCCAUUGUCAUAAAGGUUGCUAUAUGUUACUCUUUCUGACUUUACUGUAUCUAGGGCAGGUACUAGGGAAGAUUUCUUAGUGAUGAGGGUAGACAGAGGGUAGUACAGUGACCCUGAGAGAUUUUGAAAUCUCCAUCAGUGCAGGAUGCUCAGAUUAUGUCAGUACUCCCAACUCAGCAAUACUGGAACACAGACCUGGGCACUCAGUCACCCUCCCUGCAAAGGCAUCAGUUGUUUUGGGUCUGUCAGCACCCCCCAAACAGUUUCCAGGUGUUCACAGGCCAGCAGUUCACGUGGGGCAGGGAUCAUUCCCAACAGACAGGCUCAGUGAGAGCAUCCAUCACAGCAAGGUAGAAGAGCUUCAAAGGAUAUUUCCCUGGGCCAGUUGAACUCAGGAUUAGAGAACUGUGCUAGGCACAUUUAAUGUAUUAGUGCUGCAGUCCACUAGUAAAAGUCUGUAGGAAGGUAAACCCACCUCCGCAACAGGAGGGGUUAGGAGAUAUUGUAACGCCAUACUUAGCUCUACAUGCUUGCAGCCCAGUCUUACACUUACUAAUGACCUUUGCUGGAAUAUGCAGAAAACCUUGGGUUACAGUACAGUCCAAAUGAAAUCCAUUCUCCAGGAUCCUUGUGAAGAGACAGUGAGGCUGACCUUAAAACAAACAACACAAACUAAAAAAAAAAAAAAAAAAAAAAAAAAGCUUUCUUUCUGCUUCCCUGAGUGGUUUGUCUUGUAGAUAACUCAGUAGAAAUAGAAAAAGCAGUCUAAUAUAAAUCAAGUCCAGCAUCUCAGCCAGAGAUAAACAACUUUAUCAACUAGAAGAUGCAGAACUCAAUUUAUUGUUAUAUGGCAUCGGAGGAACAAGCAUUAGCAAACAGUGCAAGUAUAUUGCCCUUCCAUCAUUUAGGAAAUCAGAGGGGGCUGGAGGCUACACUCUGCAGCACGGCUCUCAAACAGCUUCUCUGCACCAGCUGUGGGCCUAACUUUAUCACACUUUGCAAACAAAGAAAACGUCUAUAACACAGCCACUGGUCCAACUGUACUGUGAUUGAUAGCAGCUUAGCUGCAGUAGCAAGAUGCUCAGCAUGGGCUAUGGAUUCUCCCAAAAUGGGCGGCUUGCUCAGUCUGCAUAGGAACAGUGUUGCCCGAGCUGGAUUCCUGCUCUUGUGCGAGGUAGUUAACCUAACCCUGGCUCAAACAUGUCUUUACUGCAACUGCAGCAUAGAUACGGCCAAAGAAGUAUCCCAGAUGGUGAGCUAAGCCAGCAGAAAACAGCCUUUGUGAUUCCUACAGGGCUUUGUUCAUGAAGGCUCCACAUCAACAGGCACCUUGCAUAUAUACACUGUGCAAAUAUACAUAUAUUUCAGUGUGAACUCAAGGUUUCAUUGGAAAAUACUCUUUAACACCACCACCCUUCCUGUACACACCAAAGUCCUACUUCAUUUCACCCAUCACAUCUUGGCAUCCUAUUUUUUUGGGAGAGAGUGGAAAGAAUGAGAGCAUGUAGCCACUCAGGUGUCAGGAAGGUGUCACUAGGUGAUGCAGAAAGUGGAGGAUAGGGUUACAAAUCUGUCCACUGAUAAUGAGCAAAACAAAAAAUUCUUCAACUUGCUGGGAGAAAAAAAGCAGAAUGCUGAGUGGCAAGGGCCAGCCCAUCAAAAUGCGGAAAUUUUGUGGAAAGUGAAUAUUUCCCUACUGUGAAAUUCCCUUCACUGGUCCUUUCCAUAUUCAUAGUCAGGCUCAGUUCAGGCAUGUUCAAUUAAGACAUCUAGUUUGAUAAAAAAAGUACAGAUGAAGACACUAGCUCUAGUGGAUGAAAUAACAUAUGAUGAAGAGCCCAAAUUGUUGAAAUCUGGCAGUAGAAGGAGAGUAAUAAAGAUAGUUCAGUAAAAUGUAUUUUCUGAGCCCAGAAUAAAGUUUAAAAAUAAAUUUGAGUUACUUGAAGCAAAGUAGUUUUAAAAUAAAUCUAGGUAUUCAGAGCUGCUUGUGAGGAGGAAGGUGACUUUGAGGAAUGCUUGAAGGACCGCACCCACUGUCAAACCUCGGUCUAUUCCCUUGCAAUCCCACACCAUUUUGUCUAAGUCACCUGAGAGAAAAAAACUGGUGGGUGUAUAAUUUUUUUUCCUAUUCCUCCUGGGUGGUCUGCUGCACAGCUUGAAAUCUGUGUUUUUGUAGCAAACAAUGAAAGAAAUUGAUUCCCUCAAGCCCCAGCAUAUAGGCAACACAGUCUGUACACUGCAGGACUGUAAGUCACCUCUGAGUCAUCAGAUCCAGACCCCUGCUAUCUCUAGCAAUCACGCCACAUAAACUGAUACAUAAAUCUAUCUUCUUCCAUAUUAAAAAUAAACUCUAUUCUGAAGGAUGGAAAAUUUCUUCGAACUCACAACUUAAAUCUAUUCACAGACAGCUGUAGCCUUCGUUUUCGUGUCAUGGAGACCCUUUAUCUGAUCUCUUUACUCUAUAGAACACUAACCCCCAGCUCCAGUCUGCACUUAAACAGCCUUUCUAGCCCCAUCCAAACUUUAUUUUGCCAGAGUGAGGAAACCAAGGUCUUUCCAGUCUCCCCCAAGAUGACAGAAAGUCUCUGGCCUUCCUCUGCACCGGCAGAAGCUAGAAUCCACUUUUUGGGGUUUUUUUUUAUGCUGGGUGGAUUUUUUUUAUGCCAGGUGACCAGAGUUGCAACCAUUUUUCAAGAGAGACUCUAACAGUAGUUCGUACAAUAGGUUAACACUUGAUUAUCUGCAGUAGAAAUAUCUAAUCUGGCAGGUUUUACCCUUGUAUUUUCUUUCUUCGUGACAGCAUCUCAUUGAGCAGGAUUGACCACCGCAUGCACGUUUCUUCUUCUCUCCUUUCCUAAUGGUCAAUCUCAGGUUUAUAAUGGUAGCUAUGUCUAUUAAUUCCUGUUAAAUUUUCUCCCACUUCUGUAAUUCCAAUCUAAAAUUUCAGCGAAGUUCUUUUAUUUUAUAUUCAAAUCCUCAUUUUCAGUGCUGGUACAACUAACUUUUUCAUUAGCAGCAGCUUUCAUUACCACAUUAUUUCCUUCUCCCGUUGAAUUCAUUGAUAAAAACACUAAAUACUCAAUCAUAUAUGAUGUAUUUUUAAAUCCAAGAAACAAUAUUGCUUUUUCAUGUUUAAAACCAGAUAUCCUAGAUAGACUACAAUCCAUCAUACCUUAAACUGUCUUAUUCUAUUUUUCACUUGCCCCAUAUCUGAUUAUUUUAAUAAAUAUCUUGCUUUCUGAUACAGGCAGGGUUUGUGAAUGUCAGAAGCACGUAAACAUUCAUGUUGAAAAAAAGAAUAAGGAAGUUCAGUAACUUCAUAAAACCUUCUACCCUGGAUUGAUUGGGGGAUAUUUUUAGCCUGCUGCACUGAAUUGUUCAGUAGCAACAGAGUUACUGUUUUAUUAAGGUUUUAUUUAUAAAUGUAGGACCAAUUAUAGCCUUUAUCAUAAGCAAGCUGCUAUCUUAAUUAAAAAUGAGCCAAAGCUUGCUCAUGGUCUGAGCUUUGCCUUUAUGCCUGAGGUUAGGUACCUAGACCCAUAUUUAGAUCCCUAUAUAAGUGUGGCCUGAGGCAUUGUGUAACUCCAGCCGCUGUUGAUUUGACUGCAGGUCCAAGUUAUUAGGUUUCCUGUCCUUCCACAGGACAGGAAAAUUUCAUUUUGAUGAGAGCUGAAGAUUGCUGCUGUUUCCAUGAUCUGUGGCUCCUUGCAAAACCUUUUCUCUCUCUUUGCUUUUCAUUCUCUCUUGGAGACGGGUUAGGCAAGAGGGUGGUGGUGUUUUGACGCCCAGUGCUGUGACAACAGGCAAACAGCUGUGGGCUGUUCUGAGGCUGGAUAAUUCAUGCCCAUUGAACAGAAAAAGGCUAUAGACAGCACAUUGCAGACCCCAAGCUGGUGCAGAAUGAGAAACACCAAAGUACCUGCUCGUGGCUCUGCCUUCUCUAAGGUCAUAAAGGUUUGCCUCAUUAUUUUGGAUUAGUUCAGUGUUUAACAGCUCUGUGUUUUGAAAACUUCCCUGCUCUGUCCCCAGAAAAACCUCCGAGACAUCCUUUGUCAAGCAGGACUGUAAACAUGGAGACCUCAUCCCAUAAGAUUAGCUUCCAGUCAAACCAGAAGCUACCCUGGGAUUUCUGAGCUGACGAGAAGCCUCUCUGAGUUUCUUGUGCUAAUUUGCUCCUUCUGUUUUGAGCAGCAUUUUAAUAUUGAGCUCAGCCAGAGCCAGGUGGGUGGUGGAAAUGGCAACAUGCUCUUUCUGCUCUUUGCUUCAAGGUGCCCUGAAUCUGCUGACUGAAAAUUCCUUUUUGAGGUACUUUGGCUUUCACGUUAAAGUAGAAGAAGCGAAGUUUAGGAGCAUGUAUAAAGUAAAAGCGUCAGCAAAAAUCAAUGGGCUGAAUCUGGAAGUAAAUUUUAUAUCAAGUAUUUUGUACGUCACAGAAGAGGUGUCCAGAGCCAGGUGAAGUAAAAAGAGAAAACAGAAUGAAUAGUAGGAAAGGGAAGAAAGGCUAGAAGAGAUACACACUGAAGCCCUGGAAGUUUAGUGUUUUGCAUUAUGGAGAAGCACUUGACUCUCAAAUGAAGUGUUUCCACAGUUACAAUCUAAAUACAUCUUUAGCCCCUCCAUCUUUGCGAGAUUAAGCUACAAACCAUGAGCAACCGGACCCCAAACCAGUUGGAAUCCCCCUGCGAUGCACUGGAAUAAAAUCUGUCAAACAGUUUUGGAGAUAAAUACCAGAAACUGCACCUGAUGCAGCGUGGUGGCACUGCAAGUGGUGCGCGCGUUGUGACAGCUGAUAGAAGAAGCAAGGACUGUCCCCAGGCACUCAUUAACUCAGGAGAACCCUGAGAAAUGGAAAAGCCUGAAGACCUUAGGGAGCUGUGCAUUGCAGACAGAUGAAGGACAGAAGGAAACGAAAGGCAAGAAACGUUCCAUGCCAUUUCAACAUGAUUGUCCUGCACAGGCUGGGCUGAGCACACCACUUUCAAGCCUCAGCAUUAAAAAAAGAACAAGGGAAGGAAGGUUGUAUUUCUCAGCAAAAAGGGCAGCACAGAAUUUAGAAGCUAACAAGAAGACUCUCUGCAGUGCGGUUUGAAAUAUAUAUUUCAGCAUCUAACAUGUCCAAAUGUUGACAAUCUAUUGUCACUGAUGAGCAGCUUUCUCAGGUUGUGCUGCUCAGAGCCUAACUUUUACCGGUAGAUCUCACCUCUGCUGUUUUCAGUGGCAUCUGCAUUGGGAGAAAUAAAAAGUUCUGCAGAGAAGCAUUAUUUUAGCUUUCUGCUACUCUCACAGGAAUAUCAUUUUUCAUUUUCAAUUACCAAAUAAGUAGUUUUAUGAAUAUUUUAACCAAAACUAUCUUUAGAAAAGAGGGAAAUGUGUGUAUACACACACACACACACAAAGACGAGUGUGUAUGUAUUUUCCUUGCCUUUGUUUGGGGUUUUCAGUCUUGCAUAUUAGGAUAUGCCAUCGCUGACUAAUAGACUAAGACUCAGAAUAUUGAAAAGAAAUAAUUCUGUCUGUGUGUCAAAGGUAUGAGCCUGUAAACUUAAUUACAGAAACAAUUUAGGUUUAUACAAGCAGUAAAAGACUAACAAAACAAUAACAUGCUGAGAAGCCCAAAAUUUCUCCAGUAAAUCAUGACAUCAGACUUUCUUAGUGUGCACAUCUGUGUACCACAACUUGUUCACCUUUAUUCAUUCUGAAUUUAUGACUGCUUGCUUACACAGUAACGCAAACACCAAGUGAAUUAGUGCACCAGGAUUCUACCAUAUGAUUCUAUGGUGUUGUAAGAAAUCAAACAGUAAAACCAUCCUACCUGUUGCCUUUUUUUUUUUUUUCCUGGCUUCUCCCUGGUCUACCAAUCUGUGGACUGCAAUGCCACGCAUUCCUUGCCACUGCAAUGCCCUCUUGGCUGACUUCCCACUGCGGGGUCCCCAACGUGUCCCAUUCUGCAGCCCCUUUGCUUUCAAGUCAGAUCUGAUGGGCUACUGCUGCCUCUAAAAAGCGAAGUAUGUGCAUCUCACAUGCUGUCACUUCUCUUCGCACCUUCCCACUGCCUGUGGGGCUGGGCAAGGGCUGGAGUUUGCCUGGGGACUGGUGGAGCACCAACACAGGAGACCACAGUCUCGGCUGAGCCUCUGUGUGCUGCCAUAAUACAAAUACUGGCAAGUGGUAUUCUCAAAAGCUACACUAACAGCUCUGGUUCCUUUGCCAGCUAGUUAGGCUUGAUACUUUCCUAUAAAACAAGCACAUCAUUUAUGUGUGCUAUACAGUACACAGAACUAUAAAAAACACACCGGUUACUGGGCAGGCCCUGGGGGUUCACUGUUUUAGCAGGCAAAUAGAAUCCAAUCCAGAACUAAAACUCAGCAAAGAGUAUGAAAUAGAAGUUACACAGGCACAUGUCAACCUCACAUGAGAGGUUUGGACAUGAGAGCAACUCAGAUGUAUCAGGAGCUUAUAAUAAAUAUUUAUAUAGCACUGCAGAAGUACCAGGUAGCUUACGAUGAGCAAAGUGUGCCAAGUAGGAGCCUCUGAAAAGUUUAACUUCCAAAUGCGUAAAACAGGAAAACACUAACUCUGGAGCUGAGACACCACACCUGUCUCCCUGAAGCCAAAGUUAGCACAUUGGGCAGGAUAAGUCCAUGUGUUAGAAUCUCACAUGUAUGCUAGGAAAGAAUUGUAUUUACCAUAUCAGUGCCUUGCCUAGCACCUGCUGAGAAGCCAGGCUUUGGAUCCAGAGUACCAAGGCAGGAACCAGAUCAACUUCAUGAAGAGAUGGGGUUGCACUUAUUUUUGUUCACCAUUUUCCAGGUGAAGAUUUAAUGCAGAUUCAUAUGAAAGGAGACACAAAGAAACAAAACAUCUCUGAACUGUGCUGGAGAUUUACCGCACCUUCAAUCCUUUCUCUUCUGUCUCUAGAAGGAAGAUUAUAAAAAAUAUUCUGUCAGAACAAGCAGAAAUGCUAUCAAACCUAGCAAUUCAUCAGCAUGCUGAUGUGCUUAAAGGAACCGAUUCCAAGAGGUAGAUACUUUGGAAAAACACAGGUAAUGGCAGCCAGGAACUAGCUUUCCCUUAUGGUUUUAUGGCAUAACAUAGCAGGCAUCUCUCAAACUAAGUAAAAAAGCUGUAGAGAUUUUGUUGAUAGAAGUUCUGACAGUAUUUAAAGCUAAGUGUGGCUCAUCCAUGAGUCUGGGGGUUUUAGUUGUUCAGGGUUUCUUUAAUAUACAAAAUUUAGCUCAGUUUGUCUAUGCAUUUCCCUGCUUUUUACCUGUUCCAUCUGCAGAGUGAUAAAAACCAGCUUUUUUGUGUAUGCCAUCAGUAUGUGCAAGUGCGAUACACUGCUGUGCUACUGCCCUGAGAUAAUAUGCUGCUAACUGGGUACCUCUGUGUCACUGUCAUACUUCAUUACUCACCAGCAACAGAAUCACCCAAGCUGAAGCAACUGUACCUAACAGUAAAUUUGUAUGUAUUCUUGUAUAAUUUCAAUAUCAUACAACCAGUUUUUCAUAACCUCCCUGCACUACUGCAAAUGGUCAUUUACUGGUUUGGUGAAUGUAUUCUAGAGCCCUAGAGGAAAUAACACUAACUACUUUAAAUAGCAGUUGGGUCUUAAUGCCCCAGAGGAGCUAUCUUUGCAUAACAGAUAUGUACCUUUUUCAGUUAAAUUAGUUCAGCUGUUAUAUUUUCUCUAUGCUAGGUACACCUUUCCCACCACUUUGUCUGCAUGGUGAGUAGAUGUGAUGCUAUCCAGCUUCUCCACCUCAGGUAUGUCUAGGCUUCACCAUGAAGUAAUUUAUGAGAAUAUCCAAGUGGAAAAGCUGGGUAGUUCAUCCAUUUGCUCACCAGGGAGGGUCUGUGGUACAGUGUGGACAGAUCCCAUAACAAUUCAGCUAGUGGUCAUUUCAUUAGUCACAUUCAUUAGAAACUCAUUAGAUCAUGCUCAUUGCUUUACAAGACUUGGCUCAAGUAUUUGCAAGUAAUGAAGGUACUUUUCUUAGACCAUGGGUGGGAUCUAUUGCCCUUAGGUCUCAAAAAGUUACUUGUCAAACUCUCAGCUAUUUACCCUGCCUCCCAUUACAGGCAGUCAAGAGAAGCAGGUACAUCCAAGGAGAAAUUAAUCUCAUCUGGAGGCAGGUAGUUAAAGUAGGUCAGAGAGACUGCAUGUGUGGGUUGCUCUCCAAUGAAUGUAGUUGAAGCCCAGAGCAAUCAGUGAAGAAUUAGACAACUAAACCUUAAAUAUCUAUACUGAGAUGGAAAUAAACUCACCCAAUAUUUCUCUGUCAGCGAUAAAUAGCUGCUACAAGGAAAGUUGUGCUCUUGGUCAUAGUUUCAUGACUUGGCUUGUAAAAUAUGCCCUGCUCCAGGGUCUCCUAUCUCCCCAGACACUCCUCAGAGUGUUAUGGUGUGUAAGUAGGUCAGCACUCUUGUUAACAUUACACCACUCCAGUGAUAAACCUUUUGUUUCUGCAGAAACAAUGUCUAAAUGCUACUUCUCUAGCACCUGUUCAGCUGUGAUAGUAUGAGCAUGGCUUGCACUAUAAUAUUUGUCCUUUUUAAAUAGCUCCAUUAAUUUAUUCCCUGUGCAGGAAACCUUUGUACAGAUUCACUGCUGGAAGAAAAUAAUAGUUGUGUAGAGGACAAAUGGUUCUAAAAGGGCAGCUUGUUUCCAUCUACACUCUGCCUGCAAUACCUGUACUUCUUUUCUAUUUUAUAACAUAAGUGUUAUAUAAAGUAAGUGUAAACUUUGAGGAUUAAUGGGACUUUUUGGUGUUUUUAUAAUAUUUUUCCAAAUGAGACUGUGUUUUUAUGUUUGGUAAAUUAAUUUAAGUAGAAGAGUGAGACAGAAACAAUUGGGAGUCUCAAAGGAUCAACAUAUAAGAAACAAGUAAUUUUACUCUGGUUUCUAUAUCUAACUGCUCCAUAUGUUUGGAUACAGUGAUCUUAAUUACGGUUUUGUCUUUAUUGCCCACCCUUAGUUGAAGACAAUGGUAAAUGACAUUAUUGUAGCCACAUAAGAGGACUUGGUUACUACAAUAAUGGUGCUCUGCUCAACAUUUUUCAAGAUAUAAAGCAGAAAUACGUAGCACAUCUACCAAAGAAAAAUUGAUAUUAUAGUUAUUAAUCCAUUUUAAUUUCACUAUACAGUACAUUGAAAGACCAGCUACAAUGUCUUCUUUAAAAAAUAAAUUCUGAGAACAGGUAUAUUUAUUAUCCACAACUUGAAACUUCUUUUUCAAUAAUUUAUGGAAAUAUUUGUGAAAAAAAAAAUAUUUAUUUGUAUUAGUGAGCUCCAUAUAUGACGUACAAAUUAUUUCAGCCUAAUGCAUUUUCACAUAUGUCUACCCUGUGAAUUAUAUGUGGUUUUAUGUUUCUGUUUAAUCAUGGUAUACAAAUGGUCAUGGUCAGUUAAUGCUUGUAUAGCACUUGGAAUGUAUCAGUUGAUAUAUGUUUGAUUGCUAUUUUAUUAAAAUAAUAUUAAAUAUAUUGUUUAAAGUUCCUUAGAUCAGUACUUACUGUGCUACUGUAGAUUUCUAAACUGAUUCAAAAAAAAAAAAAAAUACCUCUGGUCAAUUGAAUAGAAAUAAGAGCUCUAGCAGUUACAUUUUUAUUUUUUGCCAUUGGUGAAAACCUCUCUUUCAGCACCUGAAGGCAAUAUGUAUCACUGAAGAAAAAGUAAAUCUUACAUCUAAAAUGCUUAAACAGAUUAAUGAAACAAAAAAAGAAAUUAUUACAAAAAUAAAGGACCUCUUUCAUAGCUAUUUUCCCUCAAUCAUCAUUCAUAGUUCAGUUAAUCUUCGUAUUUUUCUAAGUUAGACUGAAAGAUCUUUAACAUGGGAAACAAACUGCUUUUAUGUUUUAUAAAUUCCUGCUAUACUGGUUUACAUAAUGCCACAAUGUGCAGUUUUUCAUUGUGGUCUUUGGUUUGAUCUUGGCCAAGCGAGUAGUUCAAAUCAUUUUGAAAAGUUAAAUUUUCAUGAACAGUGUUUUUCCUGAAUUAAUGGCAAGGGAGCACAGUUUGCUGUCUGCAGUGCAACAGGACCAGCUGGCCAUUUUCUCUUAUAUAAAGUGACUUGUGGGCACAUGGCAGACACGAAGGCUGCACACAGCAGUUAUCACCAGUUGCCUGCUGUGUGUCAGUAUACAUUUCUAGAUUUUGCUUGAUCAACACUACU